rnacentral:tRNA from 1 species
UCCCUGGUGUUUUUGUGGUUAGGAUUCAGCGCUCUCACCGCUGUGGCCCGGUUUCGAUUCCUGGUCUGGGAA